AUGAACGCUGGCGGUUGUGCCUAACACAUGCAAGUCGAGCGAACCCGCAAGGGUUAGCGGCGAACGGGUGAGUAAUAGUACGGAACGUACCCCGAACUCAGGGAUAAGCAGCCGAAAGGCUGUCUAAUACUUGAUAGUCUCGGCAUCGAAAGGUGUCGAGUAAAGAAUUUCGGUUCGGGAGCGGCCGUAUUCCCAUCAGCUAGUUGGUAAGGUAACGGCUUACCAAGGCUACGACGGGUAACUGGCGUGAGAGCGCGACCAGUCACAGUGGGACUGAGACACGGCCCACACUCCUACGGGAGGCAGCAGUUAGGAAUCUUGCACAAUGGGCGAAAGCCUGAUGCAGCGACACCGCGUGGAGGAUGAAGGCCUUCGGGUCGUAAACUCCUUUUCCCUGGGACGAUUAUGACGGUACCAGGGGAAUAAGGACCGGCUAACUACGUGCCAGCAGCCGCGGUAAUACGUAGGGUCCAAGCGUUAUUCGGAAUGACUGGGCGUAAAGGGCGUGUAGGCGGCUCGAGAAGUCUGGCGUUAAAUCUCUCGGCUCAACCGAGAGGCUGCGUUGGAAACCAUCGAGCUUGAAUCUUGCAGGGGUAAGCGGAAUUCCGGGUGUGUAGCAGUGAAAUGCGUUGAUAUCCGGAGGAACACCAAUGGCGAAGGCAGCUUACUAGGCAAGUAUUGACGCUGAGGCGCGAAAGCGUGGGGAGCGAACAGGAUUAGAUACCCUGGUAGUCCACGCUGUAAACGAUGUUCACUAGCUAUGGGGAGUAUCGACCCUUUCUGUAGCGCAGCUAACGCGGUAAGUGAACCGCCUGGGAAGUACGGCCGCAAGGCUAAAACUCAAAGGAAUUGACGGGGGCUCGCACAAGUGGUGGAGCAUGUGGUUUAAUUCGACGCUAAGCGAGGAACCUUACCAGGACUUGACAUCUCCGGAACCCUGCAGAAAUGCGGGGGUGCCUUCGGGAGCCGGAUGACAGGUGAUGCACGGUCGUCGUCAGCUCGUGCCGUGAGGUGUUCCGUUCAGUCGGCAAACGAGCGCAACCCCUACCCUGUGUUGCAUUCUCACGGGGGACAGCCCCGAUCUUAUCGGGGAGGAAGGUGGGGAUGACGUCAGAUCAGCGUGUCUCUUACGUCCUGGGCGACACACGUGCUACAAUGGCAGUCACAACGGGUAGCAAGACCGCAAGGUGGAGCUAAUCCCUUAAAUACUGCCCCAGUUCGGAUUGUGGGCUGCAACUCGCCCACAUGAAGCCGGAAUCACUAGUAACCGCGCAUCAGCCAUGGCGUGGUGAAUACGUUCUCGAGCCUUGUACACACCGCCCGUCAAGGCAGGAAAGUUGGUAAUGCCAGAAGUACCCCGCCCGAACGUUCGAGCAUUCGAACGCUGGGGUGGGGUACCACGGCAGGAUCAGUAAUCAGGCCU
rnacentral:rRNA from 1 species